UGAUGAUGUAAUGAGACGGGAUGGUGUUCAUUUGUCCCCCAUUGGGUUAGAUAUUUUCAAUACGGGACUACAAGCUGGAAUUGAGGCGGCGCUGUUGGCGGGGGGGCGCGAUGCCCGCGCAGCGUAGUGCGCGAGGUGGGCAUCGCGGUGGCGGGUUUCCCUAGACAGUGCAGAAGAUAAAAGGAACUUUGGGGGAGACGACAGCCUGCACGGAGC